ACAACACAGCACCCCUGGACAGUCACCACAUGGACAAGUCAGUUCAAUACAAGCUCCAUAGACAGUUAUCCCUACAUAAGAAAAUUGAAGCUGAAUUUAUACCGGAAGGAUUGCUGGACAAAGCGUCGCCUAGCAAUGCCUAACAGCUUGCGAGGUUUCCAAUCACCUGUCUGCCGCUGCCCAAUGAUGUCAGUCACAUACGACCACCGGACCCUUUGUGCUUGUAAGCACCAAAUGGUAAUGACAGACAGCCAUCUGACAGAAGACUUUUCCUUGAGCAAGCGUAGAUUGCUGUGGGGGUGGAAAUGGAAUAGUGAUUUUGAUGAACAAAUGGUGCCUGCUGUCAUUUAA